GAUUAGAUACCCUAGUAUUCACAAAAUAAUAUAAUUAAUAUAGACAGAAAAUUAAUAAUUUUGGCGGUUAAUUAAUUUUUAGAGGAGCUUGUAAACUGAUGGAUAUAACUCAAUAAAUUUUACUAAUACUUUUGAUUUAUUCAUUUCCGUUAUUAAAUUUUAUUACUAAAAAUUUUUAUAAAUUAUUAUUUCAGGUCAAGAUGUAGUCUUUAUUAGUGAAUAUUAUUAGCUACAUUAAUAUAAUUAUUGGAUUUUAUACUCUUUUCAAAUAAUAAAAGAAACUGAAUUUAGAUGUAAUAAAUAAUUAGAAAAUUAGUAUGAAUUUAUAAUAAUUAAUGUUCAUAUUGCCCGUCACUUCUAUUAAUUAUUAGAUAUAGAAUAAGUCGUAACAAAGUA
rnacentral:rRNA from 1 species